GUUAGGAAUAUUGGACAAUGGGCGCAAGCCUGAUCCAGCCAUGCCGCGUGCCGGAUGAAGGCGCUCUGCGUUGUAAACGGCUUUUAUUCGGGAAGAAGAGUAGGGAUGCGUCCUUAUGUGACGGUACCGAAUGAAUAAGCACCGGCUAACUCCGUGCCAGCAGCCGCGGUAAUACGGAGGGUGCGAGCGUUGUCCGGAUUUAUUGGGUUUAAAGGGUGCGUAGGCGGUUAAUUAAGUCAGUAGUGAAAGACUGUCGCUCAACGACGGAUGGGAUAUUGGUACUGGUUAACUUGAAUCAGGUUAGAGUUGGCGGAAUGGGUCAUGUAGCGGUGAAAUGCUUAGAUAUGACUUGGAACACCGAUAGCGAAGGCAGCUGACUGAGCCUUGAUUGACGCUGAGGUACGAAAGUGUGGGUAGCGAACAGGAUUAGAAACCCCGGUAGUCC
rnacentral:rRNA from 1 species